AGUGAACGCUGGCGGUAGGCCUAACACAUGCAAGUCGAACGGCAGCACAGUAAGAGCUUGCUCUUACGGGUGGCGAGUGGCGGACGGGUGAGGAAUACAUCGGAAUCUACUUUUUCGUGGGGGAUAACGUAGGGAAACUUACGCUAAUACCGCAUACGACCUACGGGUGAAAGCAGGGGAUUUUCGGACCUUGCGCGAUUGAAUGAGCCGAUGUCGGAUUAGCUAGUUGGCGGGGUAAAGGCCCACCAAGGCGACGAUCCGUAGCUGAUCUGAGAGGAUGAUCAGCCACACUGGAACUGAGACACGGUCCAGACUCCUACGGGAGGCAGCAGUGGGGAAUGUUGGACAAUGGGCGCAAGCCUGAUCCAGCCAUGCCGCGUGGGUGAAGAAGGCCCUCGGGUUGUAAAGCCCUUUUGUUGGGGAAGAAAAGCAGCGGGUUAAAACACGGCUGUUCUGACGGUACCGAAAGAAUAAGCACCGGCUAACUUCGUG
rnacentral:rRNA from 1 species